UACGUAGGGUGCAAGCGUUGUCCGGAAUUAUUGGGCGUAAAGGGCUCGUAGGCGGUCUGUCGCGUCGGGCGUGAAAACUCAGGGCUUAACCCUGAGCCUGCUUCCGAUACCGGCAGACUAGAGGUAUGCAGGGGAGAACGGAAUUCCUGGUGUAGCGGUGGAAUGCGCAGAUAUCAGGAGGAACACCGGUGGCGAAAGCGACUUCCUGGGCCAGUACCGACGCUCAGGCACGAAAGCGUGGGGAGCAAACAGG
rnacentral:rRNA from 1 species